GUUCUACUGCACUUUUUAACAAGUACUCACCUUGUGUGCAAUGUUUGCUGUCGAGUCGUUUAUUCGUCUCGACAGCACAAUACCAACCUUUUAUUGUAAAUUUUUUGUCUGAAGCUAUUUCGAAUAUAUAAUUCUAAAUACAACUUUCAACAACGGAUCUCUUGGCUCUCGCAUCGAUGAAGAACGCAGCGAAAUGCGAUACGUAAUGUGAAUUGCAGAAUUCAGUGAAUCAUCGAAUCUUUGAACGCACAUUGCACUCUCUGGUAUUCCGGAGAGUAUGCUUGUUUGAGUAUCUGUAAACAUCUCAAAUCUCUCUUCGCUUGCGUCGAGAGAAUUGGAUUUGAGCGAUCCCGACUCCUUCGUCAGAAAGAGGAGGGUCGCUUGAAAUGCAGGUACCAGCUGGACAUUCUUCUGAGCUAAAAGCAUAUCUAUUUAGUCCCGUCAAACGGAUUAUUACUUUUGCUUCAGCUAAUAUAAAGGUCGAAUGAACUACCAACGCUGAUUGCAGGAAAACUUGUUCGUUUAUUCGGACUUGUAAACUCGAUCUCAAAUCAAGUAAGACUACCCGCUGAACUUAAGCAUAUCAAUAAGCGGAGGAAAAGAAACUAACAAGGAUUCCCUUAGUAACGGCGAGUGAAGCGGGAUGAGCUCAAAUUUAAAAUCUGGCUGGUUUACCAGUCCGAGUUGUAGUUUAAAGAAGCGUUUUCGGUGGCAGUCUCGGUAUAAAUCCUUUGGAAUAGGGUAUCAUAGAGGGUGAGAAUCCCGUCUUUGACUGAGAAUAUGCUACUAUGUGAUACGUUUUCAAAGAGUCGAGCUGUUUGGGAAUGCAGCUCAAAAUGGGUGGUAAAUUUCAUCUAAAGCUAAAUAUUGGCGAGAGACCGAUAGCGAACAAGUACCGUGAGGGAAAGAUGAAAAGAACUUUGAAAAGAGAGUUAAACAGUGCGUGAAAUUGUUGAAAGGGAAACGCUUGAAACCAGUCAUGCGGUUGGGAAAUCAGUCU
rnacentral:rRNA from 1 species